AUAAGAGGGUUUAUGGGAGAGCUAAGCAGCCUCUGCUAUAAGAAAACACCAUCAGAUGGAAGUAUAAGAGUCUCCUUCUUCCUCUCUAACCUGCUGGCUACCUUUGAAUUCCACAUUUGGAACAGUGAGCACCUUCUCCAUGUAAAAACCCCUGAAAUUUACAAGUCAAAGAUCACUUCACCUUUUGCAGUUGCUGAGUGGUCUGGAAGUACAUGAUGCACUAAUGGCAAGAAAAGCACAGUUUGUGUUUGGGAACACACUGCUAAGGAAGAACAUGAGAGUUUGAGAAGGAUAUUCCAGAUGGAGAAGCACAACUUGCCAGUGAACUACGGAGGCAUCUCUGGAGACUUGCAUUGGAGGGAAGAGGGAGUUUUCUGCAAGAACUGGAAAAGUAUGCCUGAAGAACUGAGGUUGGAAAUGGAGAACACAUCUUGGAGUUCCCUGCACAAGAUUCCAGUUUCCAGACUCACAGUGUCUGGCUGCUCUCAGAGCACUGUUGCCCAUUGCGGUGAGCAGAAGGGAGCUCUGGUUGAGUGCUGCUCUGACCGUGCAGUGCCACUGGUGUCCCUACAGCUGCAUGGCAGAGCACUACAUCAGCCUUGCUCACAGCUGGGAGGAGGACAGCUUUACCAGCAGCCUGAGCAGAAGCGAGGAGAAGGGAAGUUUUGUGCUCUUCACAUUGCAGGCAAAACCUCUUUGCAUAAACUCUGCUAACAGGUUAUUAACAUCCUGCAGCAAGUCGUCACUUCAGCCUAAAGUUUUGUGGAAGAAAUU
rnacentral:lncRNA from 1 species